AGAGUUUGAUCCUGGCUCAGAACGAACGCUGGCGGCGCGCCUAAUACAUGCAAGUCGAGCGAGAAGGUGUAGCAAUACACUUGUAAAGCGGCGAACGGGUGAGGAAUACAUGGGUAAUCUACCAUCGAGUGGGGAAUAACCAACCGAAAGGUUGGCUAAUACCGCGUACGCCUCCGAGUCUUCGGGUUCGGAGGGAAAGCUGCACUGUGAGUGUAGCGCUCUUUGAUGAGCUCAUGUCCUAUCAGCUUGUUGGUAGGGUAACGGCCUACCAAGGCUUUGACGGGUAGCUGGUCUGAGAGGACGAUCAGCCACACUGGCACUGCGACACGGGCCAGACUCCUACGGGAGGCAGCAGUAAGGAAUAUUGCGCAAUGGGCGAAAGCCUGACGCAGCGACGCCGCGUGGGGGAUGAAGGUCUUCGGAUUGUAAACCCCUUUCGGGAGGGAAGAUGGGACGAGCAAUCGUUCGGACGGUACCUCCAGAAGCAGCCACGGCCAACUUCGUGCCAGCAGCCGCGGUAAUACGAAGGUGGCAAGCGUUGUUCGGAUUCACUGGGCGUACAGGGUGUGUAGGCGGUUUGGUAAGCCUUCUGUUAAAGCUUCGGGCCCAACCCGGAAAGCGCAGAGGGUACUGCCAGGCUAGAGGGUGGGAGAGGAGCGCGGAAUUCCCGGUGUAGCGGUGAAAUGCGUAGAGAUCGGGAGGAAGGCCGGUGGCGAAGGCGGCGCUCUGGAACAUACCUGACGCUGAGACACGAAAGCGUGGGGAGCAAACAGGAUUAGAUACCCUGGUAGUCCACGCCC
rnacentral:rRNA from 1 species